GUGGUUUAAUUCGAUGCAACGCGAAGAACCUUACCUGGUCUUGACAUCCCGGAGACCCUUAGGAAACUAGGGGGUGCUUCCAUCUGGAAGAAUCUGGAGACAGGUGCUGCAUGGCUGUCGUCAGCUCGUGUCGUGAGAUGUUGGGUUAAGUCCCGCAACGAGCGCAACCCUUGCCUUUAGUUGCCAGCAGUUCGGCUGGGCACUCUAAAGGGACUGCCGGUAUUAAACCGGAGGAAGGUGGGGAUGACGUCAAGUCCUCAUGGCCUUUAUGACCAGGGCUACACACGUACUACAAUGGCCGAUACAAAGGGCAGCGACACUGCGAGGUGAAGCCAAUCCCGUAAAAUCGGUCUCAGUCCGGAUUGGAGUCCGCAACUCGACUGCGUGAAGUCGGAAUCGCUAGUAAUCGUGAAUCAGAAUGUCACGGUGAAUACGUUCCCGGGCCUU
rnacentral:rRNA from 1 species